GAGCAAUUUGGAAAAAUAAUUUUGUCGGUUUCUAUUACAGUUGCGAAGCCUUAGAGAUAACAAGAAAAACAGUGUUUUGGGAGAUAACUCUUAUUUGGGAAAGUAUUCGGUUAAGCAGAGUUGGUUUCAAAAGCAUAUAAACUGUUCGAUAUCAUAUUCCAAAAAUCUAAGCGACAUCUUGCGAAACAAAAAAAACAGCGAAGGAAAAAAAUUAGGCCGAAGAAAAAAAAAAGAAAAAAAAAUAAUAAUCAGAAGAAAUCCAAUAGGUCUUUCCACGGAAAAGUGGAAAGACUUAAUAAUAAUCAGAAGAAAUCCAAUAGGUCUUUCCACGGAAAAGUGGAAAGACUUAAUAAUAAUCAGAAGAAAUCCAAUAGGUCUUUCCACGGAAAAGUGGAAAGACCUAAUAAGGCUU
rnacentral:lncRNA from 1 species